CCUACGGGAGGCAGCAGUGAGGAAUAUUGGUCAAUGGCCGGAAGGCUGAACCAGCCAAGCCGCGUGAAGGACGAAGGUGCCAAGCAUUGUAAACUUCUUUUGUCAAGGGACAAAAUCAGGCUCGAGAGCCUGUCCGAGGGUACUUGAAGAAAAAGCAUCGGCUAACUCCGUGCCAGCAGCCGCGGUAAUACGGAGGAUGCGAGCGUUAUCCGGAUUUAUUGGGUUUAAAGGGUGCGUAGGCGGGCUGUUAAGUCAGCGGUAAAAGCGCGGGGCUCAACCCCGGCGAGCCGUUGAAACUGGGUGUCUUGAGAGGGCGAGAGGUAGGCGGAAUGCGCGGUGUAGCGGUGAAAUGCAUAGAUAUUGCGCAGAACUCCGAUUGCGAAGGCAGCAUACCGGCGGCGAACUGACGCUGAGGCACGAAAGCGUGGGGAUCGAACAGGAUUAGAUACCCGUGUAGUC
rnacentral:rRNA from 1 species